GGGGACAAAAUCGGUAAUCAAAAGUUUGUCGUCAGGUGAGGAAUAAUAGGCUCUCAAUCUGACGACAUUUGGGUGUUUUAUCAUUCCAACUGUCUCAACCUCUGCCGCGAAUUCUUUAUUGUACUUUCCACCGACCAUGACCCCACUGUUCGCCAACCUGCGAACAACGACCGCCAUCCCGCUUCCCAGCACUACUUUGUAAAGCAUUCCCAUCGCCUUGCUCCCCCUCAUCACGUACGCCGUUGAUCGCAGCAAUUCGUCGAGAUCCAAGGAGAAGUCCUUGUCGAGUGACACCAGUUUAGGAUCGGGGUUUGUUUCGGUGUCAAUCUGGUUUGAGUGCGAGGUGGUAAACGCCCCGUCGGUGUCUGUAUCGGUAUAGGGGGGAUUUGUUCGAAAUAAAUAACAGUAAUCGGUGGAUCGGUUCUUGGAUUGGGCGCUGUUUGGUUUGGUGAUCAAGUUUUCUCGACCCUUCCGGUAGAUGUAUAUCAGAAUGAUUCCGAUUAUGGCUGCUACGAUGGCAUUGAGAACCGAUAUCAACACGAUCCAUUCGGUGCUCAACCCUUUCCUCCUUUUUUCGUUGGGAUUCUCGCCCACAUUUCCUGACGGUGUAGAUUUGCACCUAAUCUGAAGCGGAUCACCACACAAGCCUGGAUUUUCUAGAAAAUAUUCUGCCGCCUGAUUUUCCAACGCUCCAAAUCUCGGAAUCUCUCCAGACAAGUGAUUCUCUCUCAGAUCUAUGAUUACCUCUGCUGGUAACUUUCCUAAUUCCAUUGGAAUCUCACCUUGUAAUUUAUUAUGCGAUAAAUUCAAAGUCCCAGUCAUCAACCUCAUACUCCCCAUCUCUGGCGGAAUUCUCCCAGAGAAUCUAUUUCCCGACAGAUCCAAUUCAAUCAAAUUCUCCUUCUCCGGCCACAACUCUCCUGGGACCUCCCCAAUCAACUCGUUAUUCGACAAUACCAACCUCUCCAACUUGAUGCAAUUUCUGAAUGGCAGAGGAAGUGUACCUGCUAUGGAAUUCCGGGAAACAUCAAGGUUCUGGAGGGUGGGAAUGGAACAAAGAGCAGCGGGUAGUUCUCCCGAGAAGUUGUAGGAGAGGUUGAUCGAGUGAAGCGAGGUGGCAUUGGAAAGACGUUCCGGGAUUCCACCUGAGAGGAAGUUACCAUUGAAAUCAAGACGACGGAGGUACACCAGAGCCCCGAUCUCCGACGGGAGAUAGCCGGUAAUAUUUUUGUCGGAGAUUGUGAUCGCAGUGACGCGUGGAGAUGUGAAACCGGAGAUGUUAGCACAGAUGACACCUACCCAAUUGCAAGGAUCCGUGGAGGAAUCGGACCAUGUGGAGAGUGCAUUGUAUGGGUCAGAAAUUACCGCCGAUUUGAAGGUUAAUAGAGAGAGCCCGUCGGGGGAGAAGCAUGAACCGAAAUGGCGGUAGUAUGUUAGAGUUACAAGUAGUAUAGAGAUUACAGUUGGAAUUGUUAUUGGAAAAGGGAAGAUGGACAUUUCCGUUGAUUCUGGUAUUGAAGUAGCCGUGUAGGUUGUGUAGUCUAUGAUGGUUAGUUAUAUAAACAAAGUCGUGCUCGGUAAUAAUGUCACCCCCAUCCCCAUUAUGAUCAUUAUCCAGUAGUGUAGUUUUGAAGUUUAUAGAUGUUUCCUCACAUGGUAUGGUAAGUCUACACAGAGCUCAGCUUUAAGCUUUCAUGAAUAAACUGCGUGAGGUGUGAUGAUUACAAAAGAACCAAGACUUGAGAUUCAAGGAAAUAAACAGGAGUAAAAAAUUUUAUACUACAAUUAAUAUCUAUCUUUUAUUUUCUAAGUUAUUGCCUUAUUGGAUCACAGUCAUACCAAAUUUUCUAAGUUAUUACCUUAUUGUUCUGCACAGUUAGUCAGUUAGUUCUGUAUGAUGGAUUAUAAUUUAUAACAUACCUAUAAACUUGAUAUCAGUAGAUAAAUAGCAGGUGAUUUAAAUUUUAAACUCA
rnacentral:lncRNA from 1 species